UUCUUUAAAAUCUAAAAAAUUUGGCGGUAUUUUAGUCUAUUCAGAGGAACCUGUCCUUUAAUCGAUAAUCCACGAUAAUUUUUACUUUAACUUUAAAUUUAUAUAUCGUCGUUUAUAAAAAUUUUAUUAAAUAAUUUUUUCAGAUCAAGGUGUAGUUUAUGUUGAAGUUAGGAUGGGUUACAUUGAAAAUUUAAAUGAAAUUGGAUUUGAUAGUAAGCUCUAAAAUAUGCACAUAUCGCCCGUCGCUUUCAUUUUAAGGUGAAAUAAGUCGUAACAAAGUAGGCCUAUCGGAAGAUGGGCCUGGAACGCAAAUUAGAGCUUGAUAAGCGUUUUAUUUACACUAAAAAGUUAAUUGUUAGAUUCAAUUUAAUUUGAAGUUAUAUGAUUAUUUUUUUUUAUUUUUUUUUAUUUUUGAAAUAAAAAUUUUAAGUUUUGAUUAUUGUUUGAAAAAAUAUUAUAAUAGAGUAUAGUACUGAGAAGGAAUUUAUUUAAUUUUAAAAAAGAAGAAUUUGUUUUUUGUACCUUGUGUAUCAGGGUUGAUUUACUUGAUUUUCUCGAAUUUAUAAGAGCUACUUUUAUUGUUUUAUAAAUAUUUAAGAUUUUGUGGUAGAAAUGAAACGUUAUUCGUUUAUAAAUAUAUCUGGUUUUUUAAGAAAUGAAUUUAAUUCAGCAAAAAUAAAAAUAUUUGUGAGGGAUAAGCUUUAAAACAUAAUAUUAAAAAUUAUUUUUGUUAAAUUUUAUAUAGGAUUAGAAUUUUUUAUUGAUAGUAGGAUGUUAUAAUUAAUUUUUUUAAUUUUUUAUUAAAAUGUUAAUUUGAAUUUGUAUUUUUAAUUAAUAAUGAUUAAAUUAGUAAGGUAGUGAAAAGGAAUUCGGCAAAUUUUAAUUUCACCUGUUUAAUAAAAACAUGUCCUUUUGAUUAUUAUUUAAGGUCUGACCUGCCCAAUGAUUAAAUGGCCGCAGUAUUUUGACUGUGCAAAGGUAGCAUAAUCAUUAGUUUUUUAAUUGAAAGCUGGUAUGAAAGGUUUGAUGAAAAAUUAACUGUCUCUAGAAUUUUAAUUUUAAGUUAAAAAGCUUAAAUAUUUUAAAAAGACGAGAAGACCCUAUAGAGUUUUGGAGGGGUGACAUAAAAAUUUAAUUAACUUUUUAUA
rnacentral:rRNA from 1 species